rnacentral:rRNA from 1 species
GACGAACGCUGGCGGCGUGCCUAAUACAUGCAAGUCGAGCGAAUCGAUGGGAGCUUGCUCCCUGAGAUUAGCGGCGGACGGGUGAGUAACACGUGGGUAACCUGCCUGUAAGACUGGGAUAACUUCGGGAAACCGGAGCUAAUACCGGAUACUUUCUUUUCUCGCAUGAGGAGAGAUGGAAAGAUGGUUCUGCUAUCACUUACAGAUGGACCCGCGGCGCAUUAGCUAGUUGGUGAGGUAACGGCUCACCAAGGCGACGAUGCGUAGCCGACCUGAGAGGGGGAUCGGCAACACUGGGACUGAGACACGGCCCAGACUCCUACGGGAGGCAGCAGUAGGGAAUCGUCCGCAAUGGACGAAAGUCUGACGGAGCAACGCCGCGUGAGCGAAGAAGGCCUUCGGGUCGUAAAGCUCUGUUGUUAGGGAAGAACAAGUACGAGAGUAACUGCUCGUACCUUGACGGUACCUAACCAGAAAGCCACGGCUAACUACGUGCCAGCCGCCGCCGUAACAC